AUGACCUGUCCUAAAUCACAAGGCGGCCUCGGUUUUAGGGAUUUCCGGAUUUUCAAUCAGGCACUACUAGUGAGACAGGCCUGGCGUCUCUUAGCCUUUCUAGAUAGCCUUUGUGCAAGGCUGCUCAAAGCCAAGUAUUACCCAAGUGGACGGUUGGAGGAGAUGGUGUUCUCAGGGAAUCCUUCUCAGUCUUGGCAAGGUGUCUCUUAUGGGCUCGAGCUCUUAAAGAAAGGACUGAUCUGGCGUAUUGCUAAUGGGCAGAAGGUCCGAAUCUGGCGUGACCGUUGGGUUUUUCGUGGUAACAUGGGUUCGCUUGUUUCAAACAGAGGAAGAUGCCGGCUCAAAUGGGUAUCUGACUUGCUGGAUCAUAAUGGUCACUGGGAUAUGAUGAAGUUAAAGCAGUUUUUUUUUUGCCCGUGGACAUACAUGAGAUUUGUAAGAUUCAUCCUUCACCCCGUUUGGGAGAGGAUUUUUUAG
rnacentral:rRNA from 1 species